CGUCACUCCAGCAUAUUUUGCAGUUCAAACGAGCUCUGCAUAUUUUGCAGCAUAAUAUCUCUAAUAAUCCGUCUCGUAUAUUCAAACCAACUCAUCUCCAUAAUGCAAUGUAUGCAGCCGGGUCCAUGAGAUCUUGCUUUCGCCUCCGCUCUCCACAGAAAGCUUCGCUCUUCUUUCUCCAACCUUCUUCACUUCCAUCGCUCUUCCCCUCUUAGACAAAAGGAAAGAAAGAUGAGAGCUUUCCUCCUCCGAUCGGUUGAAACGUCCUCAGAAGAGGAGGUGGGAGGAAGAGAGCUUUCCUCCUCCGAUCGGUUGAAACGUCCUCAGAAGAGGAGGUGGCGCUUCCUCCCACCUCCCCCGUCGAACUUUCUCCGUCGAGUCCAGCCCUGAGCGCAAGGUCGCCAUCCUCGGCGCCACCGGCGGCAUUGGCCAGCCCCUCGCUCUCCUCAUGAAGCUCAACCCUUUGGUCUCCUCCCUUUCCCUCUACGAUAUCGCGGGCAACCCCGGCGUUGCCGCCGACGUCAGCUAGAUCAACACCCGCGCCCAGGUUGCCGGAUUUAUGGACGUGGAGCACGGCGUGAAAGCCCUAGAGGGCUCCGAAUUUGUCAUCGUCCCCGCCGGCGUCCCCCGGAAACCGGGCAUGACCCGCGACGAUCUAUUCAACAUCAAUGCCGGCAUCGUCAAGUCUCUCUGCGCGGCCAUUAUACCACCACCACUCCUUUCCAUUUCUUUUCCUUUUUCUUUUCUUGCCCCUUCUUUAUUUCGUUCACCUUAAAACACAUGCAAACAAUUGUUCUUUUUUUUUUUGGUUAAAUUUAGGCACUUAUUAAUAUGAUUAGCAACCCAGUGAAUUCGACGGUGCCGAUUGCGGUGGAGGGGUUCAAAAAGACAGGGACUUAUGAUGAAAAGAAGCUUUUCGGAGUCACCACGCUCGAUGUGGUGAGAGUUAAGACUUUCUAUGCCGGGAAGGCAAAGGUUCCGGUUGGGGUGGCGAAAGUUGUCCACUGCAAAGGUUAAUGUCCCUGUUGUUGGUGGGCAUGCCGGUAUAACCAUUCUGCCUCUGUUUUCCCAGAUGAUGCUGAUAUUCUGCUCUCUGAGACCGGUGAGCCUUUACGAGAUUCUCAUUUGCUGGCAGAAUUCUCAUCAUUUUGCUUAAAGCUAUGCUGGUGCCGUCUUUGCUGAUGCAUGCUUGAAAGGUCUUAAUGGGGUUCCAGAUAUUGUGGAGUGCUUUUUUGUGCAAUCAAGCAUCACCGAACUACCUUUGCCUCCAAGUCUCUUGUCAGAAGUGACCCCUUUUGUUUAAAGCCCAAGUAUAAGCAGCAAAACCUGCUGGAUGACACAUAAUUUAUUGAAAGGUAAGGCUGGGAAAGAAUGGUGUGGAGGAAGUACUUGGAUUGGGAUCACUUUCUGAUUAUGAGAAGCAAGGCUUAGAGUCUCAAGGCUGAGCUCGAAUUCUCCAUAGAGAAGGGGAUUAAGUUUGUUCAAGAGAAUUAGCUUGUCUAUGCAAGGGUUCAGGUUCUUCCAAUACCAUGAAAUUUGGCUUAUUCACUUCAAUGGAGGAGGUCUUUGCCAUUGUCUGUCAACAAUUACCCGGUGCUUGGUUUUGGCUGUGAGAUUAAAGCAAACUAGGCUUUUAGAUUUUUGACUGCAUCAAGAAAUAUGCAAAUUGUGAAGAAAGGAACCGAGAAUUAUUUCGGUUGUGCACAAGGCCUCAAGUAAAAUUCGAUUACAUCAGUUAAGUCAUCAAAUGGAACAAAGGGACUACGGUAUGAUUCUUCUAGGACCACUUUUUUUUUUUUUGGGUACGUUUGGACCAUUGGUUUAUGGUCCCUUGUUUGAAAGGCUUUGUGCUUUUUGGCUCAAUUGGUUUGUCAAACCUUGGUUGCUGUUUUCUUAUCCUGCCACUCUCCAAAAUCUCAGUUGUCAGUCUAAAUGAGUUGUUUAUCAAACUAGUUCACCUAAGCUUGGACUAUCGGAUCACGAGGAAAACGAACUUUUUGUUUUUCACAGCUCUUACGCAAGGCAAUGACUCAGGUUGGCGGCCUUCUUGUGUCCAGAAAUUUCCCAGUGCUGGCUGGGUUUUGUUAGGCUGUCCUUUUCUUUUGGUUGCUUCUUGUUUUAGCAUUCUUGUUUUCUUUCUCCUCUUAAUGUUUGUCAGUGUAUUAAUGUGAACCUGCUGGUUACGAGAGUGAUCGCUGUUUUUAAUGAUGUGGUAUCGUCCAUUGCAUUA